GGAUUAGAUACCCUGGUAGUCCACGCCGUAAACGAUGACAACUAGCUGUUGGGAGACAAUGUCUUUCAGUGGCGCAGCUAACGUUUUAAGUUGUCCGCCUGGGGAGUACGGCCGCAAGGCUAAAACUCAAAUGAAUUGACGGGGACCCGCACAAGCGGUGGAGCAUGUGGUUUAAUUCGAUGCAACGCGAAAAACCUUACCUACUCUUGACAUACUUGGAAGCUCUUGUAAUGAGAGUGUGCCUUUUGGAGCCAAGAUACAGGUGCUGCAUGGCUGUCGUCAGCUCGUGCCG
rnacentral:rRNA from 1 species